CCCCAAGCGGUCUGGGACAGCGGCUGUGGGGCGAAGAGUUUAGUGUUCGCCACGCUGGCUCAGGUAGCAGCGGUGUAGCCAGUUUAGUGUUCUCCACGCUGACUGGCUGACAGGUCUGAGUUUCUGCGUUAUUGUCAAUAGAAAUUCUGAGAUGGUUCUCCCAUAAAUUGUAAAUGGUAUUUGAACGACAAGUGAAGAACACUGAACAUGUUAUUAUCCAGUGUGUUAAGUGUGUGAACUAACUAGAGAACUGUAAGAACAGCGACAACCUAGUAGUCAUCAGUGGUUAUUAUCGCAGUGUGUGUUGUGGUGGUGGUGCCUGGAAAGUCUGUCUUAACAAGUCAUGACGAUCUUCAGUCUUAUGGCGGCCGCUUCUCGCCUGCCUCGUCUGCUUCUCUUCCUCCG